CUUGAUCGACCCCAACCACAGCGGCUCGCUGCGCCCUUGCCCGUAGGUGGCCAACAACGCCUGCGCCUC
rfam:Mycobacterium shinjukuense strain CCTG 53584 Mycobacterium_shinjukuense_CCTG53584_contig19, whole genome shotgun sequence.